CUGUCUUGGCAUUCCUUUAAAAAAAAAAAAAGCCUAUUUUUGAAAAAAAAAUACUGUUUUGGAAAGAAUGACAUAUGUCUAUUCAAACAUGUCAUUUAUGCAUUUAAUAGUAUAUCUAGGACACCUUUCUAUAGUUGCAUGAGAUAUAAUAUCUUCUUGAGCCAGCUUCCUUUUGGACUUGAGGACACUGGACAGACAUUGCGAUUGUUUUCCAGAUUUUUUUCUUUCAUUUUUUUGUAAAUGAAUAAUCUAUCUAUACAGAUACUUUUAUUCACCUGUGAAAAGCAAUCUGAAGGAUCUAGCCCUAGAAGUCAAAUUUCUGGGUCAAAGCAUGUAGGUUUUUAAAUUUAGUAGAUAUUGUCAUUCUUCAAAACUUUAAUACCAGUUUAUACCUCUCCCAGUGGUAUAUUUGAGUGCCCUAUUUCCCACACUCUUGAAUUUAAUCAUUACCCAUUGUUAGCAUCUCAUUUUGAUUUGCAUUUCGUACAUUUUGAACGAGUUUAAAGAUACUUUUAUAUAUUUUCAAGUUAUUUUUACUUCCCAGUGAAUAAUCAUCACCCGUUUUCCAGUGGCUAUCUUUUUCUUAGCAGUUUAUAAAAAUUCUGUGCAUAUUAAAUUUUUACUGCAGAUAUUUUCCCCAGCUUAUGUUUAUUUUUUGCUUAUACUUGUUUUUUUGUUUGAUUUGGUUUUUGCUUUUCUAAAAAACAAUUGUAGUUUUGUUUUGUUUGGGUUGUUUGUUUUUUGGCUACUAGGUUUUAUGUCAUGAUUGAAGGCCUUCCUAUACUUAAAAAUUAAUUUAAAAAUUUUAUUCAUAUUUUCUUUAAGUAAUUUUAUAGUUUUAUAUUUAAACUUUAAAUGUGGUAUAUCUGGAGUUUGUUUUGGCUUAAUGAAUGAACGUAGAGAGCCAGCCUUAAGUUUUCCAAAUGGCUAGCUGUGGUCUAAACACCACUUUUUGAGCACUCUCUUCUUCCCAUAGAUUCCUCAAAUUUGAGAUUUAAGGUUUUCUGACUGAUAAAUAUUUUGUGUUUACAGUACCAUUUAGGUAAAACAGUAUGGAAUUGUAUUGGAAAAACUGUGCAUGUAAUAUUUAUUAUAGAAUUUCCAUGUAAAUUAAUGCUGCUCCUACAGCUAAACACUACAAGGAAGAAACAGCUAUGAUCAGAGGAAAAAAAGCAUGCAUACGGUUUUUGCUUAGAUUAGGAGAUGAGAUGUGUAUGUGUCAGAAGGGAGAUCUUAGAAUGUGUAAAGUACUAGAAUCAAAAAGUAAACUUCUAAGAAGAGACCAUAAUAAUCAGGUUGCAGGUUUGCUCCUGGUAUAUCAUGUAACCCUUUUUGUUAAAAAACAAAAACAGUCUAAACUAAGGAAAUUAUUUGAAUCAGAAUGUAUUUCACAUUGGAUAUUCUUAAAAUAAUAGACAUUUUUAUAGAAAUUCGGUUCUGUGAUUUGUUGACAGUUGUAACUAACUUACUGGAAUUCAUUGAUCUUCUUAAAGGAGAGACCACUAUGUUAUUCCUGAUGAGACAAGUGGAGUUUUAUGCUCUAAGCGAAAGACAUGAGGCCUAAGACUGAGAUGAGGUUGUUUUGAGGCCAUCUGAUUUCUGACUAGAAGGUGUGCGAUCGCCUCGUCCUGAAACCACUUCAAACAGAAUGGUUUGCAAUUUUUUUUGGUGAUGGCAUGUUCAGAAUCUUGGAUCCCUAAGUUGAAUAUGUUGGAAAUAUUUAGGAACUCUGGAAAUUAUUGUUUUGUGUAUAUAAUGACUUACUAGGUGAAUCAGUAGAUUUAAUAAAAAAGAAUAUAAAAAAGAAUAGGUAUUCUAAUUUUGUGUUUCUAAGUUGACAUUCAUGCCUCAGAUUCUCAUCUUUCAGUAUUAGUGUCAUUCCCUGGAGACAGUUACAUUUUGAAUAUUUGGGGGUUUUUAUGGACCCCAUGUUUUCCCAGUUUAUGUAAUCCUCCCAUGCUGAUUUGGUCAGCUCCUUUUCCUUUCUAUCUACCUUGCCAUGUAGCUUACUUAGAUCAGAGGUAAUUAUUGAUCAGGAAGAGAUCAAGUGACAAUCCUAGAGGUAGUAAUUACAGAAUUUCAGCCUGGAAAUGACCUCGGAAUAGUCUGUUAUACCCAAAUACACUUGUGACCAGAUGCUGCUGAUUUCCAAAUUGGAUAUUAUUAUGUAGGACAGAAGUGCUAAUGGAGAGGAGAAAGGCUCUUCCGUUUCCCCUCCUCCCUCUCUUGCUGUUGUUGGGUGCAUGAAUUAGUGGAAAGUAAGACGGCUAAGAGAUAGACAGUAUAAAUGGAAAGGAGAAAAAACAAAACUUGCAUCUCCAAGAAGGAAUAUUUCCCCUUAAAAAUUUGAAAGUUAGCUCUAUUCCAAGUACCUGAACACACUAUUUUAAAACCAUAGGCUCACUUUCAUGUAGACCCAGAAUGUGAACUAGCGUAUGGUUGCCCAGAGGAUAGCUGGAGAACUUGUUAUUUGAUAGGAGAGUCAGAUAGUCCUUGGGUGAGUCUGUCGUUGACUGCUCAGAUGAAGAGAUUUGAAGAACAUCAUGGAGCAGUUAUUUUCAUAGUCAAAUACAACAGCCUCCCUAUCCCUUUGACCAAAACCCGGGAAGGCUUGCUUUUUAAGAAUGUGUUUAGAACAGCUUGAAAAAGGAUCAUAGGGAAAGGCUGAAGAGAAUUCACGAAGCUAUAGAGACUGAGUGGUAGCAAGUUUUAUCAUUGGUAGAUUAUCCAAAAAUGUGGAAGUUUUUGUAUGAUCAGAGUUUUCAUACUGUUUCUAUUAGAAGGCUUCUAGAAGCUAAAUAAGAUAGACUGUAGCACCCUCCACCCCUUUGCUUUGCUUUAAGAGGAUUUGACUGAUAUAUAUAUAUAAUAGAUGGCACAAUGAAAACAUUAGAUUUUUAAAAAUCGAGUUACAUUUUAAUUUAAAUGUGUGUUGCCUAUUUGCUACUUUCCCAUUACAACUAGCUUUUAAAAUACUCUCCUUCUGUGAUACUUUUGUCAAUAGAGGUGUUUCCUCUUAGCCAAUUCUAGCCACAGUAUUGACUAGGACUCGGCAUUUGAUAUACCCAGAAGGAAUUAGACAGGCAGGGAAAAACUUGGUCUCUACUGGAAUGAAUAUUUUAAAAACCUUUUUAGAUUCUGAACACUUGGAGUACAAAGGAAAGAGACCCAAGAAAGGGAAAAAUGUAAGAGCCCAAGAAAAAAAAACGGUGGUGGGCGUGGGGAAUAAACUCUCACACAGCUGACCUAAGUGCAUUAAGGGAAGGAAGUGAAGUUCCUGGAGAUGAGGAGGCAGUAUAUGAAAUCCUGGGACAGCAGGCAUUCUGAUAGUCAGUUGAGCAGUUCAUACUAGCAAGUGGUAGUAGUUUAAGGCUAGUGACAGGUGAUCUGGGGAAAUAUUAAUGUACUUCCUAACAAUGAGUUUGAUUUUUAUUUUAGUGGGUUAUAAAUGGGUAUGCAGCUCAAAGAUGAACAUAAUUCAAGAUAAGUAUCUUCAGUCUUAGAGAAAAUAUAAUAAAAAAUGGAUCUUUUGUCCUAUUGUAUAACUUUAGAAAGUAAUGUAGAAUACGGAGCAUAAUA